UGCCAGCCGCCGCGGUAAUACGGAGGGGGCUAGCGUUGUCCGGAAUUACUGGGCGUAAAGCGCUCGUAGGCGGAUUGAUCAGUCAGAGGUGAAAGCCCGGGGCUCAACCCCGGAAUUGCCUUUGAUACUGUCAGUCUUGAGUUCGAGAGAGGUGAGUGGAAUUCCUAGUGUAGAGGUGAAAUUCGUAGAUAUUAGGAAGAACAUCAGUGGCGAAGGCGGCUCACUGGACUGAUACUGACACUGAGGUGCGAAAGCGUGGGGAGCAAACAGGAUUAGAUA
rnacentral:rRNA from 1 species